rnacentral:tRNA from 1 species
GGAGCGGUGGCGCAAUGGAAGCGCGCUUCAACGGCAUUGAAGAGGUGUAGGUUCGACUCCUGCCCGCUCCG